AGAGUUUGAUCAUGGCUCAAGAUUGAACGCUGGCGGCAGGCUUAACACAUGCAAGUCGAGCGGGGGAGGUUACUUCGGUAACUGACCUAGCGGCGGACGGGUGAGUAAUGCUUAGGAAUCUGCCUAUUAGUGGGGGACAACAUUCCGAAAGGAAUGCUAAUACCGCAUACGUCCUACGGGGGAAAGCAGGGGAUCUUCGGACCUUGCGCUAAUAGAUGAGCCUAAGUCGGAUUAGCUAGUUGGUGGGGUAAAGGCCUACCAAGGCGACGAUCUGUAGCGGGUCUGAGAGGAUGAUCCGCCACACUGGGACUGAGACACGACCCAGACUCCUACGGGAGGCAGCAGUGGGGAAUAUUGGACAAUGGGCGCAAGCCUGAUCCAGCCAUGCCGCGUGUGUGAAGAAGGCCUUUUGGUUGUAAAGCACUUUAAGCGAGGAGGAGGCUCCUUUAGUUAAUACCUAAAGAGAGUGGACGUUACUCGCAGAAUAAGCACCGGCUAACUCUGUGCCAGCAGCCGCGGUAAUACAGAGGGUGCGAGCGUUAAUCGGAUUUACUGGGCGUAAAGCGUGCGUAGGCGGCUUUUUAAGUCGGAUGUGAAAUCCCUGAGCUUAACUUAGGAAUUGCAUUCGAUACUGGAAAGCUAGAGUAUGGGGGAGGAUGGUAGAAUUCCAGGUGUAGCGGUGAAAUGCGUAGAGAUCUGGAGGAAUACCGAUGGCGAAGGCAGCCAUCUGGCCUAAUACUGACGCUGAGGUACGAAAGCAUGGGGAGCAAACAGGAUUAGAUACCCUGGUAGU
rnacentral:rRNA from 1 species